UCUUUGCUCAAAUUCAAAUUUUUAUUAAAUAAAAGUUUAUCAUUAAAGGAAUUAGUUAUUUGAUAAUGUAACAAUGUAGAAAAGUAUUAUAACCGUGAAUUUUUCUAUUUUCUCUUAGCUUUCCUAGUUUGUGCCAUAUGACAAAGAAAUAGUCAAAGGACGUCCUUAGGAUCGACUUAGGACUUGGCCGACCUAAGGACGUCUUUAGAUUCGGCUUAGGACUUAGAUGUUUUGAGGACAUCCUACAAUGUGCUGUGUGAGUGACUUAAAAUUACGUCCAGUGGGUAUAACGUAGGCUGUAUAUAGAAUUCUUUUAGUUUAUUUAAUAUUUCUCGGGUAGUUCUAAAAUUGUCAUCCUAGUAUAAUGUCCUAUGUCCGUCCCAUUAUUGUCCGGGAACAUUCAGGACGAAUUCAGGAUCAUCCCGAAGACGUCUUGUGCUAUUAGGGCAGUUUUUCCGAGGAAAGAGGAAUUAUUGUAUAUUACUUCUUAAAGUAUUAAUAUUAUUAUUCUGGCUUCAUGACUGUGUUUCAAGUCCGACAAAAUGCGGCUCGCAGUUUGAGUUGGGAAAUGUAAAAUUAAAAAUUAUUAAUUGGCACCAAGAACCAAGAACCGUUAUGACUGAUAUAGGCCUUCUAUUUUUGCGUUUUAAUCACUUAACUAUUAAUUAGUUUUUAUGUUUUCUUUAUAUGUACAAUGGUAAUAUUAUAGAUAUCAUAGCUUGUGGUAUAAAAUACCUGUGAAGGAACAAAGGAUGCUCCUGUUCGUGAUGAGAAAAAGCAUCGAAGCUACUGCCUUGACCGCUGGCAAAAUAUACGUGUUUUCUUUAGAAAAUUUUACAACGGUAAAUCAAUAUUAUAGAUAUUACUAAAAUAUUUUUUGUAGUCCGAAAAGAUAUGUAAAACCUUUAACCGUUCUCACAUCUAGGUUGUGCAAAGCUCUAUGUCGUAUUUUACACUAUUAUCGUCUUUGGACGUGUAAUCAAUACCUCACGAUUACGGCAGAAAGCAGUAAAAUAUCCGCGAGAAGAAUAUUUCGCAGAAGUAUAGUAUUAUAAAUUAUAUAUCAAAUAAAGUAAUAUAUAUUUGCUAUAAUUUAAUAAAACAAAAUUUGAUGAAAUUUUAUUUUAUCAAAUAUUUUAUCGAAAAAAAUGUUAAAGAACCAAAAAAACCUUUGCCUUCCGAUCUUUUUCAAAGACAUUGAAACUUUAAAAUAUAAAAAUUUUUUUGCGUUUAUUUUAUCUUUCGUUAUAAACUUGCGAAACUCUCGAGUAUACGUUCUCGAAUGAACGUAUCGUUUGCUAUACAAAUAUUGGUAGUGAUCGUCUCGAUUUCUAUUUUGAGAAUUUAAGCACACAUAUAGUACGGAAUAAAUUGGAAUUAUUUAAUUAUUCCCCAGAUUCUUCUAUUUUGUUUUUCUAUAAAACAAACUGAAUAAUUUUGAUCAGAGUUUAUUCCCAAUAAUUUCAUAACACGUGCUCUAUUUUAAUCAGUGUAUCCUUUGAAAUAAUUUCACGGAAAACACGUAUAUCGUUUCGCGCACACACAGUGUUCUAAAUGUAUUUUUAUAUAAAAAAAAAUUAAAUAAAGAGGAAGAACCAACCCUACUAAUUAUUUAAAAUUUUAGAGCAUGAAUAUUUUACUUCGAAGACAAUUGUCACGCAAUAAUAUUACACGCGUACAGCGUCAUACGAACUUUUAUUCUCUUUGAUAUCCCGAUCGAUAUGUUCCGCAUGAAAGAAAAUUGUCUCGUUCAUUGACAAGCCGCUCGCAUUCAUUUUCUACGAGGCAUGACACCGCGAAAUUAUUAUAUCAAGAGUUCCCGACUUGUGUGGUAUUUUCCUGCGUUUGCCAUUACGCCCGCUGAAAUAUUAAUUAAUCUCUCACAAGACAAAACAAGACGAGAAAUUUAGUUCACUUUGUGCCGCCUCGGGUGAAACACAGAACUGAAAACGAUGGAUUCCGCACGGAAUCAAUAUUUCAGUAUUACAAAGACGAUGCUAUCAUUCACUGGUCUCUGGCCUUAUCAAGAAAAAGGAACAAGAUUGUUUCGAGUGAGCUUGAUGACUGUGAUCACUCUUUCGUUGAUGAUUCCUCAGAUAGCCGAAAUUAAUCUCUGUAAAGGAAACGUACAACGUAUUUUUCUGACGAUACCGGCACUUAUGUUGAUGAUUGUAAUUCUGGUGAAACUAUACACGUUCCAGUUUAACAGUAGUAAAAUCAAAAGUCUUACUGAUCAUCUGCGUAAUGACUGGAAAAAGUUAAAAGGCGCGGAAGAAUAUAAAAUUAUGAAAAAAUAUGCCGCAAAUGCAAGACUGUUUUCUUUUGCAAUAUGUGUAUGGUAUCACAUAGCUUGUUUUGUGUUCAUAUUUAUUGGUCUUGCACCGAACGUACUGAAUGCCGUAUUACGUCUCAAUGAAUCCCGAUCUAUAGCUUUUCCUUAUCCGGCCUAUUACUUUGGCCUGGACAACGAAAAGUACCUUUUCUACAUUUAUUCCCAUAUGUAUGUGUGUUGUGAGAUAGCUAUAACAGUGGUAAUCGCGCACGACUGCAUGCUGUUGGUUUAUAUUGAGCACGCCUGUAGCAUUUUCGCUGUAGCUGGAUUUCGAUUUAAAACUUUAUUACGUACCAAUUGUGGCGAUAAAAUGAAUAACAGUUUGUAUGCGUACAAUCAGAAGAUCGCUAAAUCCGUGUACGCACACUGUCGAGCUUUAAACUUCGCGAAUUUUCUUGAAAAUACCUUUUGCGUUGCCUUUACCGUACAAAUAAUAAUAGUUAUCGUAGCGAUGAGCAUCACUCUGCUACAAGUCGCGGAACAGGUGAACAAAAUUACGGAAAUAAUGAAGUACUUGUUAUACUUCUUUUCUCAACUGGUCCACUUAUUCUGUUAUAGUCUGGAAGGCCAAAAGUUGGUAGAUCAUAGCGCAGAAAUACGCGACAGGAUAUAUAAUUCUUCUUGGUACAACAUACCCGUGAAAUCUCAAAGAUUGCUCCUGUACGUGAUGCGCAGGAGCACGAAACCGAAUUCUUUGAGCGCCGGCAAGAUUUUUGUCUUUUGUCUGAUGAGUUUCACCACAGUCGUGCAGUCUUCGGUGUCGUAUUUUACCGUACUUCAAUCCUUCCAGUAAUCUAUGAUGUAAUUCAAAUAGUUUAAUAUUUGUGCAAUCAUAAUUAUUGUAGUAAUUAAUAAAGAUUAUGUAGAGAAAAUAAUAU